GAUGAACGCUGGCGGCGUGCCUAAUACAUGCAAGUCGAGCGAACGGACGAGAAGCUUGCUUCUCUGAUGUUAGCGGCGGACGGGUGAGUAACACGUGGAUCACCUACCUAUAAGACUGGGAUAACUUCGGGAAACCGGCGCUAAUACCGGAUAAUAUUUUGAACCGCAUGGUUCAAAAGUGAAAGACGGUCUUGCUGUCACUUAUAGAUGGAUCCGCGCUGCAUUAGCUAGUUGGUAAGGUAACGGCUUACCAAGGCAACGAUGCAUAGCCGACCUGAGAGGGUGAUAGGCCACACUGGAGGUGAGACACGGUCCAGGCUCCUACGGGAGGCAGCAGAAGGGAAUCUGCCGCAAUGGGCGAAAGCCUGACGGAGCAACGCGGCGUGAGUGAUGGAGGUCUUCGGAUCGUAAAACUCUGUUAUUAGGGAAGAACAUAUGUGUAAGUAACUGUGCAGAGCUUGACGGUACCUAAUCAGAAAGCCACGGCUAACUACGUG
rnacentral:rRNA from 1 species